CUGAGAGAGGCAGGGGGUUGAGAAAUGGCACCGAUUUGGCGGCUGGCCAUACCUCCUCCGUCAUGUGUCAGCCUUCUACUACUACUUGGUUUAUUCCUUUGGAGGCUUUGGCUGCUCUUCUCUGGAAGACAGAGCAGGGAACAGGAGGCAGCCAAGAGAGCCUCAGAGACUUCAAAGAAGCAUAAAUUCAAAAAGAUGCAGAAACUCACAGCUUCCCAGUGGGAAGAAAAUCUUAGGAUGAGCUGCUCCGAAGCUAAUGGGACACAAUUUUCAGGUCUCCCUAUGGGAUGGGCCCA